AUGAGCGCUGGCGGCGUGCCUAAUACAUGCAAGUCGCGCGAACGGACGAGAAGCUUGCUUCUCUGAUGUUAGCGGCGGACGGGUGAGUAAAACGUGGAUAACCUACCUAUAAGACUGGGAUAACUUCGGGAAACCGGAGCUAAUACCGGAUGAUAUUUUGAACCGCAUGGUUCAAAAGUGAAAGACGGUCUUGCUGUCACUUAUAGAUGGAUCCGCGCUGCAUUAGCUAGUUGGUAAGGUAACGGCUUACCAAGGCAACGAUGCAUAGCCGACCUGAGAGGGUGAUCGGCCACACUGGAACUGAGACACGGUCCAGACUCCUACGGGAGGCAGCAGUAGGGAAUCUUCCGCAAUGGGCGAAAGCCUGACGGAGCAACGCCGCGUGAGUGAUGAAGGUCUUCGGAUCGUAAAACUCUGUUAUUAGGGAAGAACAUAUGUGUAAGUAACCGUGCACAUCUUGACGGUACCUAAUCAGAAAGCCACGGCUAACUACGUG
rnacentral:rRNA from 1 species